GGUGAGUAAUGCGUGACCGACCUGCCCCAUACACCGGAAUAGCUCCUGGAAACGGGUGGUAAUGCCGGAUGCUCCGACUCCUCGCAUGGGGUGUCGGGAAAGAUUUCAUCGGUAUGGGAUGGGGUCGCGUCCUAUCAGGUAGUCGGCGGGGUAACGGCCCACCGAGCCUACGACGGGUAGCCGGCCUGAGAGGGCGACCGGCCACAUUGGGACUGAGAUACGGCCCAGACUCC
rnacentral:rRNA from 1 species